ACAGCAACACAGAUGGCAUCCACUUGCACUCAGUGCAUGUCAAAGUCCAGCAAGCCGGCUACUGUGUAGGUAUUGUACUGGGAAUUUAACUCUGUCACUUGUCACAAGUUUCUAUAUGGAAAGAUAAGAGAUGACAGCCUCCUCUUUGAUAAGAGCUUCAUUAUGGAAAGCAGGCAAGUGCCCUGUGAAUUUAUUGCUGUUGAGGACACAAAGGCAAAUGUAUAUAUUUUUUAGUUCAGAGACAAAGGCAUUAUGAUGACUGUCAUCCUGCAUGUUAAGGUCAAUGGGGCGUGAAUGUUUUCAAGGCUGCCAUACACAUUUAGUCGAACAUCUGGAUGUCCCAAUGAAGACACGCAGCUGCUUCUGGACAGAGGUCUGCUUCAAAAAUGGCAAAAUGGUGGUGACCAGAUAAUAGACAGCACCAUCAACCGUUGGUUAUAUUCCUUUACGAUCUUUUGGAGAAUGUAUUGUCUCUGUCAGUUUUUAGUUAGGUGUUUUUAAAAUGCUUUCAGUGUAGGUAGGUCCACAUUUGUCUGUAUUUUAGGCCUUUUACAUUUGUAACUCAGCUACAAAGCCAGAUCACAGAGGUCUCAUUUGUUAAAAUAAACGAGAGACCAGAAAUAAACAUGCAAUCCAAAAGCAA